rnacentral:misc_RNA from 1 species
AAGUCGUAACAAGGUUUCCGUAGGUGAACCUGCGGAAGGAUCAUUAACACGUAUCCAACGUUAAACCCCCCGUGAACCUUCAGAGCGUUCUUGCCGCCCGUGACAAUCAGCAAUCCUGGUAUAUCAAGUGGGAAUAUCCGUUAUUGAUUCAGGACCUCUGCUGUCAUGUGUUAGGGAAACCAUAGCGGCAAUUGAGAGCUUUUAUCGUUGGUUUGGCGUCCUGGCCGGGCGAGUGAAAGUGUCGCUAGACGGUUUCUAGGGUAAGGCUUCGCCAUCGCUGGAGGCUCACCACGUAGCCGGCGGACAAACUACAGGGCUAUAUGCCCCCUAAUGACGACCAAGUUAAAUAGGGCCUCUGUCACAUAGCAAGUGCGCCGUGCCAGAGGAAAAGUACAACUGUUAACAAUGGAUAUCUUGGUUCUC